rnacentral:rRNA from 1 species
UACGUAGGGUGCAAGCGUUAAUCGGAAUUACUGGGCGUAAAGCGUGCGCAGGCGGUUGUGUAAGUCUGAUGUGAAAGCCCCGGGCUCAACCUGGGAACUGCAUUGGAGACUGCACAGCUAGAGUGCGUCAGAGGGGGGUAGAAUUCCGCGUGUAGCAGUGAAAUGCGUAGAGAUGCGGAGGAAUACCGAUGGCGAAGGCAGCCCCCUGGGAUGACACUGACGCUCAUGCACGAAAGCGUGGGGAGCAAAC